CUUUUUCAUUAUAGGUUAUUACAAGAUACUGAAGUUAGUUUCCUGUGCUAUAUGGGAAAGACACUGGCCCACACGUCACAGGAGAAACCAGGCUCCCACGACGCCUUGGCCCACAGCCAGACCUCCCCCUGGGCUGCCCUUUCUUCUGCUCCCCUCACCUCUGCAGUUUCCCAAGGCACCUCUGGGGCCUCCGGGCAGGCCACGGCACAGCCAGGAUGAGCCCAGGUGGAAGUGGAAAGUACGGUGGUCCUGGCUUCGCACUAUCAGAUGCUGACAAAGAAUCUGUACCGCCCACGACUCAGUAGCGUUGCUCGCUUUCACUUACUGAACCUACUCACUUGCCCCAGCUGUACACUGCGGAUGUCUCUGGAGGAUGACGAAUGAGGUCAACGGUCCCAGAUAACUGUCUGAGCCCAAGGGCUGGGGCCUUUCCCGUGGCAUCGCGACCCGAGGGCUUUCCCGUUAUUGCCCUGCAGUCACUGUCUCCUGGAACAGGAUGGGGCUGGCCUGUCAUUUACCUGCAGUCACUGUCUUCCGGAACAGGAUGGGGUUGGCCACGAGGACGAGCAGCAGCGGCAGGUACAUGGUGACGUAGUGGGGGAUGGCAUGCUCCAGGCCCCUCUCACACCUGAGCAAGGGAAGCCAAGUCAUUCUCAAAAACAAAGCUCAGCCUGAACUACUCCGACUUACCGGGAAGCGGAGAGAAGAGGGAGAUGCUCAGAUGGACACUGACUCUGCCCAGCGGAAAUCUGACUCAUCUCUCACGUCUGUGGACCAGCAAUAAAUUGGAGAAGAAUAGAGGGAAUCAAUCACAGUUCUGUCUGUCUCGUAAACAGGGGAGAUUUUAAAGGUCCCUGCUGGGAAAAGCUAGAGAGAGGAAAAGACUCUGAGAGGGUGGCUUCCGCAUACUGGGUCUCUUCAAAGAAAAAACACAAUUCAAGGAAGACGAAGGCACUCAGUGAACUAGUUAGGUUUGGAGCACUUAUGAUGGGCUAAGCCUGGCCGAUGUCAUGGAGAAGACCCAACGUCUGUCCUUGACCUACGGAAAAUACGCAUGCUUCCUAUUUCAAAGGACAUUGUGCUCAUGGUGAUGGGUAAUCACUUGGGUGGUUCUGUUCAGAGAGAUUUCUGUGGAUGGGCCAUGGGACUUUGUCACUGUAGGACGUGGUAGAGAGCCACACCCAGGGGUGUUAACUGUCAGCGCACAAACGCAUCAUCUACAGGAAAAUGAAGAGAGAAUCCAAAGCAAAGGGGAAAGAGGAUGCUCGGGCCCAAACCAAGACUGAGGGGGAAAAGCAGAGGCGGGAACAGCCCCCGUGGCCACGGAAGGUGAUAAAAAUUCAAGCACUCCUGUUUGAAUACACCUGGACUGCUCAAACCAGUAGGGGAAACCUGGCGGAGAAUGCAGAAGAGAGGGUUCCUGGAGAGAGCAGGCUGUUUGGACCUGUGAGGAGUCACUGUUGACAAGGCAACACCAGUGUGGAGACGUCCCAGGGAGCAGCUACAAGAAAUCAAAACAUAAGGGAGAGACACGGUCUACACCACAGCUGGUUUUGAUUGUGGCUGGAUCUAAGGUAAGGAUUGCAUGUGUGUUUAAGGACGGGGGCACACUAACACAGCAGUUCUCAUACCUGAGUGUGCGUCAGAGCCCCUGGAGGGUUUGUUAAAUCACAGGUGCCCACCCCCCUCCGAUUCCUGGUCAGGGGGUGGGGAUGGGGAGCUCGGAGCAUCUGUGUUUCUAAACUGCAGUGGGUUGGUGGCAGGGUGGGGACCACACUUUGAGGACACAGCCUGGCAGGAGCAAAGGGCAGUGGAGAGAUGAGGGGAGGCACACUUACUGCACUCCCCACACAGAAGGCGGUGGGCCACAUGUCAGUCCCAUUCACAGCUGAGAUGUCCACGAAGCUCGGGAAUCCUAACCACACCGUGGACCGGACUAUGAUACCUAAGGGAGAAUCAGGAUAAACGUAAAACAAGUCAUGAUGCUGUCUGUCUUCAACUUACACAGUGCUGUGAGUCAGUUACAGCCCAGUGAAACCGAAAAAAAACAAAACAAAAAACAACAAGACCCACGCCCUAAGAGUUUAUGCAUAAGGGACCAGAAGAGGCGAGGAAACUUGUCCAGGGUCACGGAGGUGGCAGAGAGAAUCAAACCCAGGAGGAUUACACUGUAAGCGCCGGAGGGGAACUGGGGGCUCAUUUCCCUGUCAACGUGUCUACAACCUGGUCAGACCGAGGAAAGCACUUUCGCCACACACCACCUGGAAGCAACACUUUUGAGAAGCUGGAGGCAGCAAGUUGAAUUUGAUGCCAUCCUUGCUCUUUCAAGGAAGCUGUAUCCUCUGGAGUCCCCACGCAUACCAGACUGUCCAGUCUCAGAUACCUCACAAAAAGGACUAAAUCCACUCGUUAACCACAGACUUCGGUUGAUUUUGAAGUGACUGCUUCAUGGGUACUUCAGGGGCCCUGAGCAGGGAACAGGAAAUCCACAGUAACCUCAAGGGCUUGGCUUGCGGUGAGAACUACCACGUGGCGGUGCGUAACACAAGCUGGCGUGCAGCUGGCCGUGCGCACCACAGAAAUGUUUGUCUGGUACACGCACCAGACGACAGCUCAGUAUCAGAGGGACUGAAAGGCACUCACGGAGAAAGUGUGGGUCCUUCAUUCCUGGGGAGGGGGGACCUGAUGGUUUAAACAUGAUAGCUCUUCCCCCCAAGUCUUUGAGUCUGCAUUGCUCAUGGUUGAACGUCUCGAGUAAACCCGGUCCACAGCCCCAAUCUCUCAAACCUGUGACAGUUCUUUAGUCUAUGACACGGAUCAGGCAACUUAUUAAGAGGCUCCAUAUUUUAGCCUUUGCAAGCCUCACAGUCUGUUGCGAUCACCCAGCACUGCUGUGGGGGUCCCAGAGCAGCCACAGGCAGAAGGUAAACAGAUGGGUGUGGCGUUGUACCAAUAAAGCUUUAUUUACAAAACCAGACAGCUGGCCCC